UGGUGGCAUAUGUGCAGAUACGCUGCUGGU
rnacentral:piRNA from 1 species